rnacentral:pre_miRNA from 1 species
AUAUGAAUCACCUGGGGAUCAUGGUAAUAUGCAGAUUUUGAUUCAGUGGCCUAAGUUGGGCCUGCAAUUCUGUAUUUCUAAUAACUUCCCAGGUGAGGCCUAU